UACGGAGGGGGCAAGCGUUACUCGGAAUUAUUGGGCGUAAAGGGCGCGUAGGCGGUCGUGCGCGUCGGGGGUGAAAUCCCCGGGCUUAACCCGGGAGCUGCCUUCGAUACGGCACGGCUUGAGUCCGGGAGAGGGGAGCAGAAUUCCCAGUGUAGCGGUGAAAUGCGUAGAUAUUGGGAGGAAUACCGGUGGCGAAGGCGGCUCCCUGGACCGGUACUGACGCUGAGGCGCGAAAGCGUGGGUAGCAAACAGG
rnacentral:rRNA from 1 species